UCGCGGCCUAUCAGCUUGUUGGUGAGGUAAUGGCUCACCAAGGCGACGACGGGUAGCCGGCCUGAGAGGGUGACCGGCCACACUGGGACUGAGACACGGCCCAGACUCCUACGGGAGGCAGCAGUGGGGAAUAUUGCACAAUGGGCGCAAGCCUGAUGCAGCGACGCCGCGUGAGGGAUGACGGCCUUCGGGUUGUAAACCUCUUUCAGUAGGGAAGAAGCGAAAGUGACGGUACCUGCAGAAGAAGCGCCGGCUAACUACGUGCCAGCAGCCGCGGUAAUACGUAGGGCGCAAGCGUUAUCCGGAAUUAUUGGGCGUAAAGAGCUCGUAGGCGGUUUGUCGCGUCUGCCGUGAAAGUCCGGGGCUCAACUCCGGAUCUGCGGUGGGUACGGGCAGACUAGAGUGAUGUAGGGGAGACUGGAAUUCCUGGUGUAGCGGUGAAAUGCGCAGAUAUCAGGAGGAACACCGAUGGCGAAGGCAGGUCUCUGGGCAUUAACUGACGCUGAGGAGCGAAAGCAUGGGGAGCGAACAGGAUUAGAUACCCUGGUAGUCCAUGCCGUAAACGUUGGGCACUAGGUGUGGGGGACAUUCCACGUUUUCCGCGCCGUAGCUAACGCAUUAAGUGCCCCGCCUGGGGAGUACGGCCGCAAGGCUAAAACUCAAAGGAAUUGACGGGGGCCCGCACAAGCGGCGGAGCAUGCGGAUUAAUUCGAUGCAACGCGAAGAACCUUACCAAGGCUUGACAUGUGCCAGACCGCCGUGGAAACACGGUUUCCCCUUUGGGGCUGGUUCACAGGUGGUGCAUGGUUGUCGUCAGCUCGUGUCGUGAGAUGUUGGGUUAAGUCCCGCAACGAGCGCAACCCUCGUUCUAUGUUGCCAGCACGUGAUGGUGGGGACUCAUAGGAGACUGCCGGGGUCAACUCGGAGGAAGGUGGGGACGACGUCAAAUCAUCAUGCCCCUUAUGUCUUGGGCUUCACGCAUGCUACAAUGGCCGGUACAAUGGGUUGCGAUACUGUGAGGUGGAGCUAAUCCCA
rnacentral:rRNA from 1 species